GAGCAGAAAGCUGGCUGUAUGUACCGCCCCUUCUACUGAUGUUCCUUUGGCUCAUCCAGGGGCCGUCACAUUCUGACAACCUCUGGUGCUCCCAUGUGGUGGUCCCACCCUUUUCUUUUCUCUUUCCGCAGAGUCUGAAAGCUGCCUUGGCUUCUUCACUCAUGUUGUUUCUUGGCAUUAUAAACUCCCCCUAGGGACGUCAGAUUGGCUCUCUCCAUUCAUUCUCUAUUCUUAAUACCUCCCUUUUCUACUACAGAGGGCCCUCCAUCCCCUCUUCCUGGACCAGACCAUCUUUUCCAUUUCCCUGGUGAGGCCAGUAGGCUCUCUGUAUUACAACCAAAGUCUCACCAACCAUACUUUGAAGGGCUGGAAAGGAGAGGAAGCAGCGAGGAUUGGGACCCUUGGACGACCAGGGACUCUGUGGUGGCUCUGCAGUCUCCUGUGGGAAGAUCUGCAUGGACCCAGCAUCCUUGCUACAGAACCCUGGGACUGCAGGCUUUUGUCAGAGAUGAUCCAUUAGUCACCAUCAAGACCCAAAUAGACCGGUAGCCAAUGAGAACGUCAGUCUUCCACAAGCCCGCCUCCACAGAACUGCAGGCUUUGUCGGGCCUCAUCUAGCCUCCUCAUGGGAAUAAAUUCUGAUGUUCGGACCUGACCUUGACGAGCGUGCACCUUGUCAUUCUCCUGGAGAAGGUAAGUCACCAGUGGAACAUUCACAUGACUUUUCAGUGUCUUUGCAAAACUCAAGGUAUUAGAGACACUUCAGAUAAAAUAGUCCCAUGCUGGAUUACGUGAGUUGGAUGAUGCCUCUUAUAAAACUAACUCCGUAAUGUUACCUAUUUUUACUCUCAGGUACCCUUUUGUCUUUAAAAAGAAAAAAAAAUGUAAAACUUUAAAACAGAAACACCCCACUGUAUCUGGUCCUUCUGUAUGCCUUUCAACAGCGUCUGGCUCGAGGUAAUGUCAUCCUGAUCAGAUUAUUUUCUUCGCUAGACUACACACAUAGCCAGGCCAAGCCAAAUCAACACGUAUUUAUUUAGCAAUUAAUGUGUAUCGUGAUUACAUAAGGUAAGUACUUCUCAACCACAUACUGUGUAACUUGCUCUAAGUCAACUUUUCGUCUUUGCCUCUGGUAUUACUUGCAAAUACAUCUAGGAAAGGAAUGGACACUGAGCUAACAAUGGGUUUGCAGGAUGGAAAGCAUAAUCCCCUUUCCGCAUUUUGCCUCAUGUAACGUUCUUAGAAAACCCGAGUACACAUGAGCUCAGGAAUUGUUCCCACCAGUAUUUACAAUGGGAUCCUUUAUUCUUUCAAUUACAGCUCCUUUAAGAAUGCUUGAUAAUAUUAAAAUCUAAGUGUCACGGGCACAGAAAUUUAGGAUAAUCUUUUGGCUCCCUGGAAGGAAGUCCGCAUGGAUAGAUAAGUACCCAGAAGAGAGUUGUAAGGGAGCAGGCCUUGUACAUCAUUCUUAUUAGCUGGGAUCUCAUUUAUCUCAUCUCCUGAGACCUUCGUGUAAUGCUCUGUGCUCCGAGAGCCUUCACUAGCUCCCCUGGACAGAGCGAGUUGUUUUUCUGAUUCUCCCACCUCCACCACUCUGUUUGGUGUUUACCUGUUUUACACCCUACAUAGUGAAUUUCUCAGAGCAAGGAUAGUAUCUUAUUCAAAAUGGGAAUUUAGGGGGUGCCUGGGUGGCUCAGUUGGUUGAGCAUCUGACUCUUGAUUUUGGCUCAGGUCAUGAUCCCAGGGCCAUGGGGUCAAGCCCCUCAUCAGACUCUGUGCUGAGUGUGGAACCUGCUUGAAAUUCUCCCUCUCUCUCUCCCCCCACAGCUCUUCCUUUGUCCCUCUCCCCCACUCACUCUCUCUCUCUCUGAAAUAAAAAAAAUGAGAAUUUAAAAUUCUCCUCUUGCAUAGGAUAGUGACUAGGACAUAAUGGGUGAUCAGCAAAUGCUUGUUAAGUUGACAUGAGGAAGAGUGUUCUUUAUUCUGAUAAUGGCUACAAAAAAAAAUCUACACCAAAUAUCAUAAUUAGUGGUGAAAUAUUUAAAGCUUUCCCUUGAGAUUGGGAACCAAACAAGAAUGCCUACUAUCUUUUUAAUGUCACAGUGCAUGUCCAAGCCAGUUCAGUGAGGAAAGGACAAGAAAUUUUAAAAUAUAAGGAUAAGGGGAGCCUGGGUGGCUCAGUCGCUUGAGUGUCUGAUUUCAGCUCAGACGUGAUCUCGCGGUUGACGAGUUCGAGCCCCACAUCAGGCUCUGUGCUGACAGCUCAGAGCCUGGGGCCUGCUUCAGAUUCUGUGUGUCUCCCUCUCUGCCCCACCCCGCUCAUGCUCUGUCUCUCUCUGUCUCAAAAAUAAAAAAAAAAACAUUAAAAAAAUUUGUUUUAAAAUGUAAGGAUAAGAAAGGAAGAGAUACAACUAUCAUUAGCACACAACAUUACUGGAAAGUAGAAAUCUAAAAGUCUACAAGUAAAGUGUAAGAACUAAUAAGUGAAUUUAGCAAGGUUGAUAAAUAUAAAGUCAGUAUGGAAAUAUGUACGUCUGUGUACCAGCAACAAAUACUUAAGAAAAUGAAAUGAGGGUCACCAGGAUGCAUUAGCAAAUAGCAUCACAUACAUUAAAUAUUAGGGGGAAAAAAUCUAACAAAAGAUGUACGUGACUUCUAAAACUAUAAAACAUCAUUGAAAGAAAUUAAAGAACGUGGUCUUCCCCCCAACCCUCAUGCUUUCCAUGUUUGUGGACGUGCAGAGUACAGAGUAUCCUGGGAGCGUAGAGUGGCUGAGAAGGAAUCGCAGAGCGAUCGAGACCCUGGUUCGUAUAGAUCCGGGUAGGCUCUUCUAGUUAUCAGUUGCUGUGUAACAAAUGACCCCACACUUUGUGGCUGAAAACAGCGUUCAGUUGCUUGUCGAUCUGCACUUUGGGCGGCGGCUCGGCAAGGGUGGCUCGUUGCUGCUCUGUGUUGCGUC